rnacentral:rRNA from 1 species
GAUGAACGCUAGCGGCAGGCUUAAUACAUGCAAGUCGAGGGGUAACAGGGGAGCUUGCUCCCGCUGACGACCGGCAAACGGGUGCGGAACACGUACAGAACCUUCCUUCGAGCGGGGAAUAGCCCAGAGAAAUUUGGAUUAAUACCCCAUAGUAUUACGGAGUGGCAUCACUUUGUAAUUAAAGAUUUAUCACUUGAAGAUGGCUGUGCGGCUGAUUAGGUAGUUGGCGGGGUAACGGCCCACCAAGCCUUCGAUCAGUAACUGGUGUGAGAGCACGACCAGUCACACGGGCACUGAGACACGGGCCCGACUCCUACGGGAGGCAGCAGUAAGGAAUAUUGGUCAAUGGACGAAAGUCUGAACCAGCCAUGCCGCGUGGAGGAUGAAGGCCCUCUGGGUUGUAAACUUCUUUUAUAUGGGACGAAAAAAGAUCUUUCUAGAUCACCUGACGGUACCAUAUGAAUAAGCACCGGCUAACUCCGUGCCAGCAGCCGCGGU